rnacentral:lncRNA from 1 species
CCAGCAGCACCUCCCCCAGGUUCUCUAGGAGCUGGGAGCCCGUGGCGGCAGUCGGCUUUCGCCCGAGCCCGGAGCUGCCCGCAGCCGCCCGCAGCUGCAGGAGAAAGUUUGCAGCUGGCCCCGGCGGCGCUGCCGGUUCUCCCGCGCCCGGAGCUCGCCAGUUCGCUCGCUCUCCAGCCUGCGGGGCUGCCGCAGGCAGUGCCCCAGCGCAGCCUCCCCCUCUCCCUCCCUCGCUCGCUUUACGUAGCGCCCACGUAGGGUGUCAAGCGAACUUUAAAAAGCUAGCCCGCAGGAGAGCGGGGCGGCGCGGGCGGCCCGGGGAUCAACAUAGCCAGUGGGAGCGGAGCGGCCAGGGCGGCUCUCCCGGGCUGAGGCUUGGCUCCCGGCUCGCGGAGCUGCGGCGGGGGCGCGGGAUCCAUGGCAGCCUCUCUCCGCCCAGCCCGGCUCCCUGCGUCCUCGUGAGGCUGCGGACAUCCCCGGCUCCUCGGAGCAGCUCGGGUGCCUGCACCCCCGAAGGGCUCCGCGCCCCCGAGCUGCCUCUCCCUGCCUGCCCGGCGUCGGCGCGGGCUCCGGCCGCCCUAGUCAUGGAGUACCUGCGAGUGUGGCUCGGCGUUUCGUUCGCCUUGGCGGAAUUCACUCCUCUGUCUCCCGUGCGCUCCGGAGGUGCUUGUGACUUCCAGGGAGCAUCAUUUUUGGUAGGCUAUUUUUAAUAUACUUGGUCUGUUUAUUUUGUGAGUAAAAUAAUUUCUGAAGGCUAGCAGUUGACCUUAUCUGUUCUUAAUAUACAUAUUUUUCAUCUGCUGUUUGAAUAUUAUCUACUAUCCCGACACAUUCACACUCAUUUCCCUAGGGAAUGUAAAGCAGUGGAAAUGAAAUUCACUGACUUUUUUUUUCCUUUGCAGUCUAAAGUGGCCCUGUUGUAUUCUUCCAGGUGAAUAGAGGAAAUAAGAUCCUCAUGUUGAUGUCAGAUACACAGUAGGGCACCGUUGGCCCACCCUCAAGUUGCAUUGAUAUUUUCCCCAUCCGUUCUCAUUCUAGUACCUUUCCAAUCCCUGUUAAUUCUAGUGCUUUCUGUCUGUUUAUUAUCCUACUUGUCCUACACAUGACUUGGUUGGACAUAUUUGUUUGCUUGUUUCCC